GACGAACGCUGGCGGCGUGCUUAACACAUGCAAGUCGAGCGGUAAGGCCCUUUCGGGGGUACACGAGCGGCGAACGGGUGAGUAACACGUGGGUGACCUGCCCUCAGCUCUGGGAUAAGCCUGGGAAACUGGGUCUAAUACUGGAUAUGACUCCACGGUGCAUGUCGUGGGGUGGAAAGCCUUGUGCGGCUGAGGAUGGGCCCGCGGCCUAUCAGCUUGUUGGUGGGGUGAUGGCCUACCAAGGCGACGACGGGUAGCCGGCCUGAGAGGGCGACCGGCCACACUGGGACUGAGACACGGCCCAGACUCCUACGGGAGGCAGCAGUGGGGAAUCUUGCGCAAUGGGCGAAAGCCUGACACAGCGACGCCGCGU
rnacentral:rRNA from 1 species